GACAGAGGGUGCAAACGUUGUUCGGAAUUACUGGGCGUAAAGCGCGUGUAGGCGGCCAUCUAAGUCGGGCGUGAAAUCCCACGGCUCAACCGUGGAAGUGCACUCGAAACUGGAUGGCUAGAGUCCUGGAGAGGAAGGUGGAAUGCUUGGUGUAGAGGUGAAAUUCGUAGAUAUCAAGCGGAACACCGGGUGGCGAAGGCGGCCUUCUGGGACAG
rnacentral:rRNA from 1 species